AUUAAUGUGAAAAACAUUGUAAUAUUUUGUUUUUAUCUGAAGAAAUAUAUAGACAUAAAUACUUAGGGUGGUAUUCUCGAAAGCGGCCUAAGUUAAAUCAGUGGCCUAAACCUGGUUUAAACCACGGACUAUCUUUUUUGCUAUUCUCGAAGGUUGCCUAAAGAUAAGCCAGGCUUAAAUACGUCAUAGUUCGGCCUAACUUUAGGCCGCUCAGAGGGCAGGUUUAAAUACGUCAUAGUUCGGCCUAACUUCGCGUGACGUCACUUUUUAGUUACAUCGACUGUCCGCGGAGAGUGAACGGUUCUUUUCAAUUGAUGCAUGGGGAUGGAGAAAAAAAGGCCUCUCCCAAGCUAUGGUGUCCCGCCUUGUGAAGUCCAUCUCAAUAGCCAUUGCCAGGAGAUGGGAGCAAUACAUCACAAUUCCUUCAGCAAGAGAGGCAGUCCUGCAGAGUGCAGACCCAACAUGAAUUGUAUAAUUACUGCCAUUUCCCUGGCGUUAGUAUGGUCGGUGCUAUUGAUUGCACCCACAUAGGCAUCUCCAAGCCAGUUGGCCCAACACCAGUUAUUUCCUGAACAGGAAAAAAUAGAUACUCCAUUUUUCUUGGAAAGUCUGCUGGUGAGUAAAGCUGUAAUUACGCCUAAAUUUUGUAAACUAAAUCAUGUUUAUACAAUUUGUAUUAAAAAGAUCUGCUGAAUUUAUGAAUCUGCAGAUGUGUCUACAGGUACAUUAUGAAGUGAUUUAAAAUUGUUUUGUCUGAUAAGUGUAGGUGCAAUCUACACUCAAACUUUUAUUCAUUUUACAUGGGCACGAGCUAAUAUUUCAGCUCGAUUGCCAUGGCUACCAGUCAUUCCUGACAGUGACAGCUUGGCCUAGACUUUUGGGCGGAACUAUCUGAAAAUAAGACACAAAUAAUCAACAGUUGAUUAACUACUUUCAAAUUUGGGUCAGAAGAAAAUUCAAACCUACCACUAAGGAACAAAUAAGACUAAGAGACCUACAGACUACAGUACAGUGCAGUAAAUUUUACUUUUACUUUUUCCCCUUUCACGAAGCUCAUUUUGGGAGAUAACAUAAACAAAGACAAUCUUUGGUCUAAUGUUAGAUUGAACUGAAAUGGAAAAGUUGGGCUCUAACGAUUAGGGCCUUGUAAAAUUUCCAUUCCAGGCUGCGUUUACAUCUAGGUUAGGCCAACUGUCGGCUCGUUAUCUAAGUAAGAUGUAGACUUGAUUUCAGGAAAGGGACUAACUUCGCUAUAGACUUUAACUACUUAGGGCUUUCUUAGGCCAUGACAUGGCAAGUACAACUUGGUGCAAGCACAUUUAUGAGAUAGUACUGCAAGAAUGUGUAUGUUUGUUCUUGACUUUAAAAGAGAUACCGGUAGUCAUUCUGUAAAUCAAUGAUUACUAGUAACUGAGUGGGGAGGGGGUGCCUAGUCACUGCCUACAUGAAAGGCGCCUUAAGUUUUUUUUUUUAAGUUAGAAUAUUAUUGACACUAUAACUAAGACCAAUUAUCAAUGGAGUAGAUCUUUGAUAUUUUAAUGAGGUCUAAACCUUUUUAUUUUUGUUUCAGGAUGAUGUUUUUCUUCAGUAAAAUAAAUGAAGGCAAAUUCCCUGAUAACUGAGACAAAUUCAGAGAGAGGAAGGAGAACUACUGAGCUGCUGAAUUUCUGACAGACAUACUUGCAAGGACUAUGAAGUUCUACUUAGCCUCUUCAAUGAACCAGACUCCAUCUGCUGUAACUGUGACUGCAUGGGGAUCAAAACCUGUGUAUUAUAAUCCUCAUAACAUGAAGCUAUGGUAACAAACAAGCAACCAUUGAUAAAAAGCCUG